AGGGCACCACCAGGAGUGGAGCCUGCGGCUUAAUUUGACUCAACACGGGAAAACUCACCCGGCCCGGACACUGUAAGGAUUGACAGAUUGAUAGCUCUUUCUUAAUUCAGUGGAUGGUGGUGCAUGGCCGUUCUUAGUUGGUGGAGCGAUUUGUCUGGUUAAUUCCGAUAACGAACGAGACUCUGGCCUAUUAAAUAGUCAGUAUAUAAGAAAGUGUAUUGCACUUCUUAGAGGGACAAGCGGCGUCUAGCCGCAUGAAAUAGAGCAAUAACAGGUCUGUGAUGCCCUUAGAUGUCCGGGGCUGCACGCGCGCUACACUGAAAGAAUCAGCGUGCUUUUAACCUAGUUCGGAAGAACCGGGUAACCCAAGUAAAUUCUUUCGUGCUUGGGAUAGGGAAUUGCAAUUAUUUCCCUUAAACGAGGAAUUCCCAGUAAAUGCGGGUCAUAAGCUCGCGUUGAUUACGUCCCUGCCCUUUGUACACACCGCCCGUCGCUACUACCGAUUGGAUGACUUGGUGA
rnacentral:rRNA from 1 species